rnacentral:lncRNA from 1 species
CGGCCUCACUAAAUCCACCUGCUGUCUCCACGUGGAGACCCCGGGAGGUGACCAGGCUCCCCUUCGGUCCGUAGACCGGCCUCACUAAAUCCACCUGCUGUCUCCACGUGGAGACCCCGGGAGGUGACCAGCCUCCCUUCCGUCCGCAGAGCGGCCUGGUCAGAGUCGGUCCCGGGGCCUUACGUCAUCGGGGUUCCCCUCAGUUCAGUCCGUCCCCCGCCCUUCUCCGCGAGCAGCAGUGGUUCCCCCUGCAGGGAAGGAGGCCCCGGAGCAGCUCACGGGAGGGCCCGGCCUCGCUCCGGCGGGGAACACGCAGCCGUCCGUCCCUUCCGACCCCAAACCCGGCGCUCAAGCGUUUCCGGGUCCGGGAAGCAGAAGUUGCGGACGAUGUGAGCUGACAGGAAGCCAGCGGCUCUCGGGGAACGGGGACACGCUCUACUCCGCCGGGCCCGAGGGGUGCACGCCCGGACGCCUGGACCCCGCUGAGAAAAGUGCGGUGUCCACAGGUGAAGGGCGGGGAGGGAACCGGGCUUCAGACAACCGCGGGUUUAGACGGCGGCCGUUUCCCGAAGGGUUUAGCUGCUGAGGAACGAGCGCAGGCGCAGGCGCAGAAAGACGCCGUAAUUAGCCGAGAAACGGGGCGGCUUAAACAGAGGGAAGCAGAGGAAGCGGCCUAGCUCCAGAGCAAGCUGUGUCCCCCAUCCCAGGAAAAGUGGACUUUCACCUCUGCCUCAGGAGAUGAACCCUGCAGUGCUCCAGGAAACUGUGAUGGCCUCCCCCAGGCAGUCACCUUGCAACACAAUGCCGUUCUUACAGUUCUUAUCAGGCCCAGCCCUGUCGCUCCUCUGCUUCUUAACGCCAGUCCCAGCAGGCCCCUCAAGAUCCCUGCAGCCACUUCAAGCCAGUGACGUCUUUCCAUUCUCUGCAGUUCUGUUGAACCGAUUUGGUGCCUCUGCCCUUAUAAGACAAGAUACAACAAGAGAGGCAGCAGCAUACAGGAAAUAA